rnacentral:rRNA from 1 species
UACAGAGGUCCCAAGCGUUGUUCGGAUUUACUGGGCGUAAAGGGUGCGUAGGUGGCUUGGCAAGUGGAAGGUGAAAUCCCUCGGCUCAACCGAGGAACUGCCUUCCAGACUGCUUUGCUUGAGGCCGGGAGAGGCGAGUGGAAUUCCCAGUGUAGCGGUGAAAUGCGCAGAUAUCAGGAGGAACACCGGUGGCGAAGGCGGUUCUCUGGGCAUGACCUGACGCUGAGGAGCGAAAGUGUGGGGAGCGAACAGG